UUUUUUUCCUUGCAACAAGUGCAUUUACAAAGGUCCCUUGGGCAUCUAAACUGAAGAAAUACAAAAGCUUCACAGGGGAACAGAAAGCCGGCCAAAAUGAAGAUUUCCUUUAGCAAAGAGUUUUGCCACAAGUCUGCUGCAUUGUUGGCUGACCUUCGAACUUGAGACAGCGAAACAAGGGAAUUUAUUUGGUGAAACUGGCUUUGAUAUCCCAACUGCUACCCCUCCCUCUAUUUUUGAUGGCAUCAUAUACUGCAGCUGAGUCCAUUUCUAUCACAGCUUCCACAGCUUCCACAGCUUCCAUGCCCCUAAACAACUUUAAAACUUCCAAAACACGUUUAGCUUCGGCAUUCAAAGGAGACUGGUCCCAACUCUUUUAGCCAAAUCAUUGAUCAAAGCACCAGAACAGUCUCUAAAUACUAUAUGAGCUAUAGCUUCAUCUUCCUUCCAGGCAGCAUCACAAUUGAAUUUUAAACUCCCUUUGUGAGAGGUCGAGACCACUUAUUUGGGAUAGCAAUAUUACUAGGCACAACAAUAUUCUCAUUACUGCCCCUCCAAGCCUGAGAUUGCUCAAAACAGAGGUUUGGUAUUGAUGAAGAGUAACUUUAUCAUUUUAUGGGUUGUUUCAAAUUUGAAGCAUUGGUUUUGAUGCUUGUAUUGUCACUUUUCGAAAAGUUUUUUAGCUUGUAAGUUGAUGUAAAGGACUUGCUUUUGUUUGUG
rnacentral:misc_RNA from 1 species